UACGAAGGGGACUAGCGUUGUUCGGAAUUACUGGGCGUAAAGCGCACGUAGGCGGAUUUGUAAGUCAGGGGUGAAAAUCCCCGGGGCUCAACCUCGGAACUGCCUUUGAUACUGCAAAUCUCGAGUCCGAUAGAGGUGGGUGGAAUUCCUAGUGUAGAGGUGAAAUUCGUAGAUAUUAGGAAGAACACCGGUGGCGAAGGCGGCCCACUGGAUCGGUACUGACGCUGAGGUGCGAAAGCGUGGGGAGCAAACAGG
rnacentral:rRNA from 1 species